rnacentral:rRNA from 1 species
UACGUAGGUGACAAGCGUUGUCCGGAUUUACUGGGCGUAAAGAGCGCGCAGGCGGUCGAUCAAGUCGAGUGUGAAAGCCCCCGGCUCAACUGGGGAGGGUCAUUCGAUACUGAUCGACUCGAAGGCAGGAGAGGGUAGUGGAAUUCCCGGUGUAGUGGUGAAAUGCGUAGAGAUGUGGAGGAACACCGAUGGCGAAGGCAGCCUCCUGGGCCAAUACUGACGCUCAUGCACGAAAGCGUGGGGAGCAAACAGG